CAUCAUCCCUUAUACUUUGUAGCUGUACUUUCAUUUUGUACCUAUAUCUGUCCUGUAUUCCAGAAGUUGUAUCUAAAAUCAUGCUUCUUAGCAAAGGAUGGUUGGAAGUGAGUCAAGUGACACUUCUAUUAAUUUUACUUCCUCUCAUCUUUCACCUGAAAGCGCACUUUUUUUUGGCAAAUUUCUGCCAUUAUAAUAUUAACCUUUCUAUCAACUAAUGCCACAGAUGGAAUUUGCCUUUUACAGUUGUACCAACUGCUAUUGGAACAGCAAUGGAUGUUAACCUGAGCAAUGCAUCUCUAGUUUUUAUCUCUGUCACAUUUGCUACAAUGUGUAAAUCUGCUGCUCCAAUUUUUCUACUUCUGUUUGCAUUUGCUUUCAGGUUGGAGACACCAAGCUUUAAACUAUCAGGCAUCAUCAUGGUCAUCUCCAUUGGGAUACUAUUAACAGGUACAAAUGAGGCCCUUCAUUUUUCAUGGUGAUAAUUUAAUAUUUUAAUAUGUAUCUCAAACCUUGCAUCUGGUUAGAUUUUCAA